AACAAAAACAAGGGUAGACGCCAGUAGACGCGCGAUGGGUGAGCUGGCCGUGAAACCAGGCCGCGUCGUGUGCGCGGAGUGAGAUAUUUUAAACAUUAGUGGAUGAUUUUAUAAAGUUUUAAUAGACCGCAGAGAUCAUUAGAUUAUGGCUACUGCUGUAACGCUAUCUGUAGCUGUGUGGGAGUAUGUCCGCUUCUCGGGAACAUGGACGGCGUACCCGCCGGACGCCUGCGAAAAGCUUGAACGGGCGAGGGUCAAGUCGGAAAGCAAGGAUGAAACGAAAGUACCGAUUGACAUCUCGUGCAGAGGUGUCAAAGCUCACUUUGUCGAUGUCGUGAAAAUGCAGCAAGUCUUUGGCGACGAACAGGAUCACUGUGCUGCUUCCCCGGUACGAAGGAAUCUGUAUCCUCUUGACAGCGCUCCGGCGAAAGGUGUCAACUGGGAAUGGCGAACGAACAGCGGAAAGUGGUAUCCUUACAGCGUGCAUCUCUCUUGCCUCAUUGAAAAAGCCAAGGAACAGGGGCUGCCCAAGAUUAACUUGCAAGACCACUAUCCUGAAUGCAUAUACACUGUGGAAUUCACAGCCAUGCAUCAAAGGAACAAUUUCACAAGUUUCUGCCGUGUCAUUCGAAGAGUUGAAGGGAAAAAUUACCCACUGGCACCCGACGCCAUCACAUGUCCAGGAGUCGACCUGAACCUCCCUGAAAGGAAACCAAAGCCAACGGAACUGAUGCCACCUGUAAGCGAUAGUGACUCUUCCGAUGUUACGGUGAUUGCACAAAUUUUUCCAAAAAAACGCAAGGGACGAAGAAGCAACCACACUGCUUCUUUUGCUGGAAUUCCAUGUACAUCAGAAGGUGCAUCAGACACCAAGAGCCUCAAGACAGAGGGCUCUAAUUCUCUUGAUGGCAUAAAGCUACCCAACAAUUCAUGGACCGAUCCCAUGCAAGAUCCUCCUGAACCUGAGGAUUUUCUGGCAAGGCACAUGGUUGAUGUCACAGGAACAAUUCCAGCUGAGGAUUGCAGCAUCUGUUGUGAACCAUUGGUCGCCUCCUCAUCCUACAACAGCAGUGGCCGGGUGGUGCGCCUUUCCCACUGUAGCCAUCAUUUCCAUUAUGCCUGCCUUGCAGCUAUGUAUAAAAGCAAUCCAAAGGCAAGCUAUCUGCAGUGUCCUGUGUGCAAGGCCAUAUAUGGAGUGAAACGGGGCAAUCAGCCGCCAGGGAUCAUGAACUUCCAAGUGCUGCCUUUCACACUCCCUGGCUAUGAGGGCUGUGGCACCAUUCAGAUCACAUACCACAUCCCCUCUGGAGUUCAAGGGCCUGAGCACCCACGGCCUGGCAUGCCGUACACUGCGAGAGGAUUCCCUAGGCAUGGAUACCUGCCCAACAAUGAUGAAGGCCGACGGGCACUGAAGCUCCUGGUGGAUGCCUGGGACCGGAGGCUCAUAUUCACCAUUGGCCAGUCGACCACCACUGGAGAGCAAGACACUGUGACAUGGAAUGAGAUUCACCACAAGACUGAGUGUGGGUCCAACCACACAGGGCAUGGUUUUCCAGACCCUUCUUAUCUGGACAACCUCCUUGCCGAGCUUCGAGUGCACGGGGUCACUGACUAGAAAGCAUCUGAAUGCACAGACUCUUAUCACGACACUGUCAGUGACACAUCAAUGUGUUCACAGCAUAUUGAUCUUGACCUUGAGCAAGGUGAUCAGCAUUCUUGAGCAAGUGCAAUCAGCCCAUGCGCUGCACCCAAACGAAGCCAGCAUGCGAGCCCACAGCGUUUCAGCGAGAUUGCAGCUUGAUAAGGAUGCUUGCAUCAUGUUUGCACGACGGACAGACCAGCAUACAGCACUUGUCUGCGAAUGUCCUGCUGCAUUUUCUGCGGACAUCACGGAAUAUACUCUUAUCAUAAAUUUUAUUUGUUGGUUUUUAAUGCUUUUAAAUCUAUAAUGACUGUUGCGCCUGCGAGAUGUACAUGCAAAAACUGAAGUGAUCUGUUAGGGGUGUUUGCUGCUUGUAUGGUGCUGCUGUAUUGUAUGGUUAUCAUUGACAUAGAAGGCAUAAUUGUGUUCAGAAUUCUUACCUCUCAUCUGCAAUAAAGAGGUGUUGUGGAAAUUGCAA